UUUACCGUGCCAAAGGUAGCAUAAUCAAUUGUCUUUUAAUUAAAGGCUAGAAUGAAUGGUUUGAUGAGAUAAAAACUUUUUUUAUUUUAUUAAAAUGAAUUUAAACUUUUAGUAAAAAUGCUUAAAUUUAAAAAUUAGACGAGAAGACCCUAUAAAUCUUUAUUUUAAAUUAUUAUAAUUUAUAAAGAAUUUUUUAUUUUAUAAUAAAAAAAAAUUUUAUUGGGGUGAUAAUGAAAUUUAAUAAACUUUUAUUUUUUUUUUAUUAAAAUUUAUAAUUUAUUUUAAUUGAUCCAUUUAUAAUGAUUAAAAAUUUAAGUUACUUUAGGGAUAACAGCGUAAUUAUUUUAGAGAGUUCUUAUCGAUAAAAUAGAUUGCGACCUCGAUGUUGAAUUAAGAAUAAUUGAAAUGUACGAAGGUA
rnacentral:rRNA from 1 species